rnacentral:rRNA from 1 species
UGGAUCAUGUGUUUAAUUCGAUGAUACGCGAAGAACCUUACCAGGUCUUGACAUCCCAUGCAAAGCUAUAGAGAUAUAGUGGAGGUUACCAUGGAGACAGGUGGUGCAUGGUUGUCGUCAGCUCGUGUCGUGAGAUGUUGGGUUAAGUCCCGCAACGAGCGCAACCCUUAUUGCUAGUUACCAUCAUUAAUUGGGGACUCUAGCGAGACUGCCAGUGAUAAACUGGAGGAAGGUGGGGAUGACGUCAAAUCAUCAUGCCCCUUAUGACCUGGGCUACAAACGUGAUACAAUGGCUGAAACAAAGGGCAGCGAAGCAGUGAUCGUGAAGCGAACCCUAAAAGCAGUCUCAGUUCGGAUUGAAGUCUGCAACUCGACUUCAUGAAGUCGGAAUCGCUAGUAAUCGCGAAUCAGAACGUCGCGGUGAAUACGUUCCCGGGCCUU